GACUGCAAGUUGAAGUUUCUCCACGGACUUGAAACACAAGAAUAAAGAAGAGAACAAGGGACUCUGUUCAUUAUCAUUGGACAAGUAGUUACUUGCAUUAGCUUGCAUCUUCCAAUUUUGGAGAAAUUGUUUGCUAAAUGCUUCACUUCUUCCAAGAGAAACUCCAGAUUCUCAUUUUUUUUCUGAGACAUUAACAAAUGAUGUUAAUUCUGUAAUCUUUUUAACGUUUAGUUUGUUCAAGUGUAAGAAAUAUCAAGAAAAGUACACUCGUUCAAAACAAAACGCUAGAAAGGGAACAAUGACGAUUAGAGAAGCUAGGCAGUUGAUUAACUUACAAGUGAAUGGGAUAAAGAGAAUUAGUUGUCCCUCUGUCUCAAUUUAAAGAAGGUCAGACAAUGAUUCGUGGAAAUUGGACAAAGUAAUGAAAGAACUAAGUCCUGCGAAUGAAAUUCACUCGUUACCCUAAUCAUGGUGCAAAUACUAAUUCUCACCUUUAGGUCAGAGAACAGUGUGUUGCAAGAUGUUAUUGGGUUGCCACAUCCAGGGAAAGUGCAAAGGAUUUUUCUAAUCAAAGACUCCGUUGAAUUACUUUGCCAUUGAUAGAAAUAUUUGGGAUGU
rnacentral:misc_RNA from 1 species